AGCAGCCGCGGUAAUUCCAGCUCCAAUAGCGUAUAUUAAAGUUGUUGCAGUUAAAAAGCUCGUAGUUGAAUUUCGAGACCGGCUUACUGGUCGUGCUUUUGUGCGUACUGGUAUAAUCGGUUUCUCCUUUCUGACGAACUUUAAUGCCAUUAAUUUGGUGUUUUAGGGAAUCAGGACUGUUACUUUGAAAAAUUAGAGUGUUUAAAGCAGGCUCACGCUUGAAUACAUUAGCAUGGAAUAACGGAAUAGGACGUUUGAUUCUAUUUUGUUGGUUUCUAGGAUCGACGUAAUGAUUAAUAGGGAUAGUUGGGGGCAUUAGUAUUCAAUUGUCAGAGGUGAAAUUCUUGGAUUUAUUGAAGACUAACUACUGCGAAAGCAUUUGCCAAGGAUGUUUUCAUUAAUCAAGAACGAAAGUUAGGGGAUCGAAGACGAUCAGAUACCGUCGUAGUCUUAACCAUAAACUAUGCCGACUAGGGAUCGGAUGAUGUUAAUUUUUAAUGACU
rnacentral:rRNA from 1 species